rnacentral:rRNA from 1 species
AUUGAACGCUGGCGGUAUGCUUAAGACAUGCAAGUCGAACGGUAACAGGUUAAGCUGACGAGUGGCGGACGAGUGAGUAACGCGUGGGAAUCUACCUUGUAGUGGGGGAUAAGCCAGGGAAACUUGGACUAAUACCGCAUACGCCCUAAGGGGGAAAGGCGCAAGUCGCUAUAAGAUGAGCCCGCGUCUGAUUAGGUAGUUGGUGGGGUAAAGGCCUACCAAGCCGACGAUCAGUAGCUGGUCUGAGAGGAUGAUCAGCCACGUCGGGACUGAGACACGGCCCGGACUCCUACGGGAGGCAGCAGUCGGGAAUAUUGGACAAUGGGGGAAACCCUGAUCCAGCAAUACCGCGUGUGUGAAGAAGGCCUGCGGGUUGUAAAGCACUUUCAGUUGGGAAGAUAAUGACGUUACCAACAGAAGAAGCACCGGCUAACUCCGUGCCAGCAGCCG